CCUCCCUUGCCCAGCGCUAUGAGCAACGACACCCGCCUGCCUCACACAUAUGCAUACACACGCGAUGACUUCAUGACGUAGGCGUUGCCAUCUCCUUUUACUUUCUUGCAACAUAUAUAUAUAUAUACUAUAUUUUCAUAUGCUUCUCUUCCUCGUGUGGGUUGCUCAUUCGGCCCCUCUCUCCGCCCGCCCGCCACACACUGCACACACAGGUUCACAUGCUUUCCUGUUUCUCGAUGUUUCUUUCGUCUCUUCGCUUCGCACGUACGCCCUGUUCUUCCUCGAUGUUGUCGUUCGUGUUUGUAUCUCGCUCCCUUCACUGCCCUUUGUGCCUGUCGGUGUGUGGCGCCCUUUCUGCAUCUCUUCUCUUCGAUCUCUCCCCUCUUAUUUUGCGGUGCACCGUCGCACCGCUUAGCCGCUUAUCGAUUCUGAUGAAUCUUCCGUUGUGGUGUGCUCGUGUCGUUGUUCGCUCUCUUCUCUCUUGUCUUUGGCUUGGCUCCUCUACUCAAGUCACUGCUGCUCUGCCAUCUCUCUCUCUGUGCGUGUGUGUCCGUGUGUGAACGUUGUCCUGCUUCUAUGAUGAAGAAGGGGGACGGAACUUCUCUUGGCUCUUGGCCCCUUCCGCUGCACUGUUCUCUGUUUCUUUUCCGUAGUUUUCAUGUGUCUCUUCCCCACCCCUCCUCUCAAACACACCCUUCACAACGGGGUGUGGACGCACCUCAGUGCGUGGCAUCUCCGGGCCCAGCGCACCUUCCCCCCCCACCCACCCACUCUCUCGGUCGGAGGAAGUCAUGCACUAUCCCCUCCCCUAUCCCCUGCCAAAUGCCGAGCCACCUCUGGCGCUGGCAGGGCGGUGCAUCGCUGCUGACAGCGGACCGCCAGGCCCUGGGCGGCGUGGCGUCCGGGUGAUCUGCAGCCGCGAACGCGCGUGUGCACUCUCCACAUGAUGGGCAGAGUGUCCGCGUGACUCGAACGCAUCCCACCCAUCCCCCUCUCCCCGCCCCCGGCCCUCGCACGGCCCACUGGUGUGGGGAGGCCUGAGCCGCCCCGAGGAGAGGGGGGUGGGGGUAGGCUGCACCAGGGGGGGGGGGCAGCCGGCACAGCGGGGGAGCGGCUGUGAGGCGACCUGCGAGGCGGUGGGUGAGCGGGUAGAGCUGGAGGGCGGGGGCCGUGCCCCAUAUGACCGAGUCGGCGCAUCUGGUGCGAUGCGUGCGUGUCUGUGGCAUGCGCUGCACCACGCUGGGGGGGAUGGCCUGUGGCAGGGUAGGGAUGGGGCUGGCGUUGAGCUCCUGCUGUGCCGCAGAGCAACGGACACACGCCGAAGGAAACGAAAAAAAAAAACGAAAACGUCUUUCUCCUCCCCUCUCGGCCCCUCGUACCGCGUCACACACGCACACGCACUCCCUCGGGGGACGCACGGGGCUUAUCCUCUCUAUGCUUCUGUUUUUGAAUGCUCUCCUACACGUGAGACCAAAGACACAGCCCGAGGCGCAGCACCGCACCAAAUCCCUGACGAAACAGC
rnacentral:misc_RNA from 1 species